rnacentral:lncRNA from 1 species
CACUCACACAAUUAUUUGGAUACCACCACAUGGCUCUUCAUUAGAAGAAGAAGAAAUGUAAUAUUGCUAACUAACCAGAGGUUCUCCAGAUCUUUUGUGAAGCUGCAGGAACUACAUCUCUUGAGUCACAUAGACAGAAAUGACUCACUAGGUGGGAAAGGAAAAGUUUCCAGAUCUGAUGCCUGAGGCUGGACGGCUUCCAGGUUGCUGUCAUCCUUUGACUAGGUAGAUGUAUUUGAGAAAUGGGGGGAAUGAAGGUGGAAUUGGGAGAGCAAGGAGUUCUCCAGCCUCCUUGAUGGUCACAGUGACACACAGGAGUGCUAUAGAGGCUAAGCACAGGUGAGUUAAAUUGAAUCUUGUCUGCAUUGAGCCUGAUUUAGCUCCUUUGACAUGAUUCUGUUCUGAGCUGAGAGAAAGGGAGUUAUGUCAAGGAGACAGUUAAUACAUCAGUGUGGGGAAGAUAUGCAUUGUAAGAACAGAUUUCGCAAACUGGGGAAAAACAUAUUUCAGUGGUCGAGUGUCUGGUUUUUUAAAAGUUUUUAUUUAUACUUUUCAAAUUUAUACAUUUCAUUAGUUUUACAAUCAAUUUCACAUUUCAAAAUUUGUCUUCCUUCCCCCUCUUUCUGCAGUUCCUUAAAUUUAUUUUUUAAUAUCUUCUGCAUAUCCAAAUUCACUUAGCUUGCCCAUUUAAUUAUCUGCUGUAACUAUAUACUCUUAUGAAACUGCAGGCUAUUACAAUAAUCCUGCCAAUGUUUUCCCAGCUUCUCGAUUUUUCGCCCAUGCUUAGCUUCAGUUCUCCACAAUUCCCCAUCUGUGUGGUCACAAAAAUACACCAGCAUUUUAGUGCAAAUUUCUCCUAACACAUCUUUGCAUGCACUUCUGCCUAAUACAAUGCAUCUUGCAUGUUAUUUUCACAAAUAUAUUUAUUUCUGUGCACAUUUUACUGCAAUGUGUGCAUUUCUGCACAAAUCACCUGACUGGAGAACCACAUUGCGAAAAUUCGGAGAAGCACGAGUUUCUAAGAAUGGCUGGGUUUCAGUUCAUGUAUUGUGUGGAACAUGCAGAUAGGGUAGAGUUGCCUGCAGAAGUGAACUGAAUUGAAUUUCUCCCCCCCACCCAUCCUCCCCCCCAAGGGACAUGGGGAACCAUCUCUGACUCCUGCUUUGAGCCUUUGCUCCUCAGGUGGCAAAGCAUCUUAGGCCGACAUUGUUUCAGAGCGAAGGAAAUGCAAUGACAGAGAGGAGGGAAUUAAUAAGCAUUGCUCGCCUCAGCUUUAGCUUCCAUUAACAUUAACCCGACGCAUUGGAAGCGUGCUGCAGUUAGAGAGGUAAUUACAAUAAACAGAUUCCAUUUGGAACCCGCAAUCCAAAUGUGAGUGGUGCAGGGGGAGAAAGACCUGCGUUUGGGAGAAUGUUGUUAUUUGCCUGGAAAGUCAGAGAGACGUGUUGGCAGGCGAUAGCUAGUGGGCCAUUCCUCUUUUGAGCUAAGUUGUUUUUUCGGCAACUGUGUUAUUCUGCCCUCCCUGCUCCCCGCAAAUGCAUCUUUCGCCUUCUGCAAUCAAGCUUUUGAUAGCUGAAUGCCACAAAGCUCAAGAGUUGUGUCUGUGAUUAAGAUGCAAUGCCUCUUCCAUUCAGAAAGAAUAACAGAAUUGUAGAGUCGUUAAUUAAUGUUCCCAGCCCUGAGUCUGAUCUGGCUUGCAGCAGUUCCCAAACUCUCGGGUGGAAGUCUUCUCCAAGCUCUGAUGGCAAAGGUCUUUUUAAAAUGGAGAUGUUGAAGUUUGGUCGAGGGACAUCAGUUUUUGAGCUAUGGCCUCACUCCAAGUGCAAAUUUCAACACGGCACCUCCCAGUGAUGUGCACUGAUGCCAACAAGCACUUAUCGGCAGAUCUGCUGUGAUGUUUAAGAGGCACUUAGUCUGCGCUUUGGCUAAGAGCCCAUCCGCGUUUAGUGCAUCCAAACCAAAUAUGGAUAGGCCUUGCAGCCCUUGGAGGCAUAGCAAAUGCAUGCGCCAAGCAUGUUCAUCCUGGCCACCACAUGGAACACCACUGCAUGCAAGGGUUGAAGGAGUUGGGUGCGUUUAGCCUGCAAAAGAGGAGGCUGAGAGGAGAUAUAAUAGCCAUCUUCAAAUAUCUGAAGGACUGUUACAUGGAAGAUGGAGCAAGCUUGCUUUCUCCUGCUCUGGAGGGUAGGACUCGAAGUCACAAGAAAGGAGAUUCUGACUCAACAUCAGCAAUAACUUUCUGGUAGUAAAGAGCUAUUCGACAAUGGAACGGUCUCCCACAGGAGGCUGUGGACUCUUCUUCCUGGGAGGUUUUUCAGCAGAGGGUGGAUGGCCAUCUGUCAUGGAUGCUUUAGCUGAGAUUCUUGCAUUUUAGGGGCUUGGACUGGAUGACCCUCAGGGUCCCUUCCAACUCUACAAUUCUAUGAUUCUCAUCCCCACCCCCAUCCUCAUGGCUGGUUAGGAUUAUGUCCUCUUAGAAAGAAACACACCAGGCCUACUGAAGCACAUCAAAGGAGUCCCUUUUCCAGUGAUCUUAUGCCACGGCACAAUAUAAUUAGUUUUAAUCAUAGCAUUGUCAUUUUCCCUCAAACAGAGCAAGCAGAAAUGGGGAUCAGACAUCCAGAAUUUAAUCGAAUAACUUCCCCGCAUCCACGGAGACAGGCUUUGUUUAGAUUCAGCUGACCUCCCCGUCAACUCCUCAAAGUUAAAUGAGCUCUUAAAAAAAAAGUUUGGGGUUCUUUCCCCCCCCUCAAAAAAAAAUCACCUGGUUAAUAUUGAAGAGCCUGGCCUUAAUUGCUCGUCACUGGUAAUCAGAUAGUCGUAGCUAUGGUGAUGUCCUUAAAUGGAAUGGAAUGAAAGAGUGGUUACAAACAAUGACUUUCAUUCAUUCUGAAGGACUUGAUGGACAACCUGAUCAUUUCAUAUACAUAUGUACUUAAGGUAUGAUGGAUGUGGUUGUUUUUUUUUUUUUUAAAUAGACAGUGUUAUCAAUAGAGCCUGACGGCACAAAGUAAAAGAAUGGAAUGUAGGAAGAUAGGAAGCUGCCUUAUAGCAAGUCAGACCAUUGGUCAAACCAGCUCACUAACCUCAAGGUUAGAUUACUGCAGCACAUUGUGUAUGGGGCUGCCUCUGAAGCCAGCCAGCUGGAGACGUUAGUCGCCAAACCUGGCGAUCAGACAUCCCCACUUCCUCUCUAAAGGCUGGUUGCCUGUCAUGAAAUGUGGCUGGCUCCUGGUUAGUUUUGAACGCUGUUGGCCAUACACAAAGUAGCCACUAUCAGUUGCUUUGGAUGUGUUGCAAAGACUUAGCUUUUUGCCCAGGCCGUCCCUGACCCAUGAGUGCUUUUUUUAUUCAUUGUUGCUGUUUAGUCGUUUAGUCGUGUCCGACUCUUCGUGACCCCAUGGACCAGAGCACGCCAGGCACUCCUGUCUUCCACUGCCUCCCGCAGCUUGGUCAAACUUACGUUGGUAGUUUCGAGAACACUGUCCAACCAUCUCGUCCUCUGUCGUCCCCUUCUCCUUGUGCCCUCCAUCUUUCCCAACAGGGUCUUUUCCAGGGAGUCUUCUCUUCUCAUGAGGUGGCCAAAGUAUUGGAGCCUCAGCUUCAGGAUCUGUCCUUCCAGUGAGCACUCAGGGCUGAUUUCCUUCAGAAUGGAGAGGUUUGAUCUUCUUGCAGUCCAUGGGACUCUCAGGAGUCUCCUCCAGCACCAUGAUUCAAAAGCAUCCUCCAAAUUCAUUGCUUUUCGGUGUUGUAUGCUUUUAUACCACCAUUUUACUGGGUUUAUGUUGUAUUUUUGUUUCAACGAUGCUCUCUGUUGCUUCUAUGUUGUACACCACUUAGAGACGCUUAAAAUAUUAAGCAGUUUAUAAUUGCUUUUAAAUAAAUAAGUGACAUGGGGUAAACAUGAUAUGGACUUACUCGAAAUGUGAAACCGAGAUACCACAUAGUGAUUCUACAGGGUUACCCGAGCUUAUUCUGUAACCUAACUAAAGACACAGCAGAACGUUGACUUUGGUCACUUGCCAUCUUUUGAAAGAUGGUUAGGUUUGCACAUCUUGUAAACACUUAUCUAUUUGCCCAGGCUUUCCAUGCACCCUGUUUUAUGUGUGCAAAUUAAGUCAUUUCUCAUUAAAAUGCAAACAAAAACAAACUCUCCACCCCAAAAGGAAACUAGUGUGGCUCCUGAAACAGAUUUUGCCCUGGUGCCUCUAUGUUAUGGGCCUAGCCUUAGUGAUGUCUAGUGAAGACAUCUGAAGACUGCCCUGUUUAGGGAAGUUUUUAAUGUCUGACGUUUUAUUGUGUUUUUAAUACUCUGUUGGGAGCUGCCCAGAGUGGCUGGAGAAACCCAGCCAGAUGGGCGGGGUAUAAAUAAUAAAAUUAUUAUUGUUCUUGUUGUUAUCUGGUGCUUUCCAGAUGUUUUGAACUACGUAUAGCUCCCAUCAGCGCGGGCCAACACAGCCAUGCUAGCUGAGACUGAUAAGAACUAUAGUCUGAAACACACCAUUUAGACUUUGGUUAUACAUUAUGAAGAAACCCUUUCUGGGACCCCAAAUUUAAAUUCUUUUUUUUUUUUUAAUGAUAUUUAUUGGAAUUUUUUUUUUAAUUACAAAAGAGAACAAAGUAGAAAAAGAAAAAAGAAAGAGCAAAGAAAAAAACAAACCACAUCAAACAAUACAAAUUCAAAAAAAAAAAAAUACACCACAAACAUUUAAAAACAAAUCCAUCAUUCUCAAAUCCUCAACGGUCAUUACCUUCUUUCUUUGACCUCCUCCUCCUCCCUUUUUUUGUAUCCUAGUUGUUAAUUGUCGCAGCAAAUCCUUUCCGUAUUUCCUAAUAUUCUGUCAUUACAUUACCUUAAACUAUUUUAAUCUUAUCUUACUAUAAAAAACCUUAAAACUUAAAACUUAUUUUUACCAACUUCUCAUAACCAUAAUAUUCUUAAGUAAUUCUUUACACAUUUUUACUAAAGCCAAGUAAUUUCAUUCCAACAUUUUUCUAACAUUCAUCAAUUUUAUAAAACAAUCCUAGUAGUAAAAAAGAAAUAAAAACAAUCCAAUCUUCAUCCAGCGUCCCUUCCUCCUGGUCCCGGGUUUUGUCAGUCCUUAUUAUCCCAUCGAUCUAGCGCAUUAACCUGGUAACCUUGUAUCCGAGGCCCUUAAGUCUCUUCCAUGUCCCUUCCGCAGCUCUUCUUCAUAUUUAUAACUGUAUUUUCCCUUGUCACCUGCUCGUUUCACUCGUGGGAACUCCAGCUUAACAAUGUUUUUGACCCUUCUCGACAGAUCAGCCCCUUUUCCAUAAUCCACACUAAACUCCAUGUGGUAUUUAAGAACAUAUUUCAAAAUCCCUCCAAAAUUAGGAGCCCCCAGAACCCCAAACAUCUCACGGCCCAUUGCCAGACUUGAAAAGUCCAAACAUCCCUGCAUAGGGGGGUCUAUCCAGCCCCCCAUUUCCAAACCAAACCAAACGUUUUCUUUCCAAAUCUGGCUUUUUCCAAGUUCAUUUGUCAAAUCCAAAAGCUCAUGUUCCUGUUGGGCCACAGCUCCCUCUAUCUCUGGCGCCCAAGAUUCAGCAACAUCCUCUUCCCUCAUCUGUUCUGUCAGGGCACACUCCUGAUUUAAUUCCUGGGUGGGCUCCAUAUAUUUUCCCACUGCCUGUUCAAAAUUUCCCACUGCCUGUUUAAAAUUUCUGAUUGAAUCAGACAUCAAAUCCGUCUUCUCAUGUAACUGUUCCAGUAGGGCAUUUGUUUUAUAGAAAGCACACAACAGAGCUUCUGAAUACAUUGUCCUGCAAGGUCAGAAGUCUAUUCCCACGAUUGUAAUCUGUAACAGCUGCAAGCUCCCCGGAGUUGGUUACAGUUUCACAGUCUCCCUGUAGGGGGAAAACUUCUAUUGGUUCUUUCUUUUAAAGACAAGUCUAGCAACAAAGUUUCCUUUUUCAGAUAUUUUGUCAAUAUUUGUUCCUUUAAAAAGCGAAGGGGAACAAUGGAAUCAAUGUUUCUCUUCUUAUAGCUAUCUGUCAAAAACGUUGUCUCUGGUCAAUGAGCUUCAAAAAAAACGUCAGUCCUAACACCCCGCUCCAGGAUCAGGACGGUGGAAAGUUACUUUACUUUACCCUCACUUCUGCAGGUUUAAACAGUAAAAAAAAAAUCCCCCCUCUUCUCCUGCUUCCGAAGGGGGUUCAACAAUUUUAAAUGAUGAAAGUUAAUCUUUUACAGGCGAUUUUCUGAGCUCUAGUUUGCCAUGUCUUUGCUUUAUUCUAUCUACAAAGAAACAGAAGGCUGACUUCCUGUUUAGACCUUCCCGUUUCAGUGCCAAAUUGAGGUAAACUUUUAAGUCCAAUUUUCCUUUCUGCUCACAAGUCCUUAUUUAAAGUCCAAUUGUCCGAGUUUAGGUACUCACGGGUGAUUAUUUUAGAAGCCAAAUUGUCCCAGGAAAAAGGCAGCGCUCUCCGGCAACGGCUGUGCGGCUUCGCUCCACGGAAGAAGCAGUUGACUCUCAGCACCACGCCACUUCCCCCUCUUCGCUACGGAGCCCGAUAGUGGCUCCCUUAGCGGGUUGGCGCCCGCUAAGGCUGCCCGCCGAGUCCCAUGGUCACAGGCUUCAUCCGCCUGUGAUUUUUGAAAGGGUCCCCGCUUCGCCGUAGCGGAAAAGACCCGUUUCGCGUGGAGCUAGUCCCUCCAGAUCAGAGGGAGUCUGCCAUUACCGAUGGCGCCACCCCGGAAGUCCCCCACAUUUAAAUUCUUCCCUGGUCUCCUUGCUGGCCCUAGUAGGACCAAUGUGGUCAGUUAGCCCUGGUGAUCAUUUGAUGUCUACUGACUGGGGUUCCCCCCCAAAAAAAUGACCCUUGAAUUUUAUUGAUAUUGAUGCUGCGUUUUAUGUUGUCUUUUAUGCUGUUUUUAAGUAGCAUUUUAAUCAAUGUUUUAUAUUUGCUGUUGGCCGCCCUGAGCCCAUUUUUUAAACCGGGAAGGGCGGGGUAUAAAUAAAUUUAUUAGUAUUAUUAUUAUUAUUAUUACACUCGUCAACAACAAAUUUGUUGUCUGCGUUUUUUCAGAUGAUUUAGGACGAAUCUGAUGCGCUGAAUCCAAAAAUCACAUUGGUUUUGCUCAAUCAGGUCAAGUUUUUGAGCUAUGGCCACAUGUCAUUUUUUUACGUUUUUGUUCACAUGUACGCUUGUGUGGAGCAUUUAGAAGAAGUUGGUGGGGGUAAAAUGCCAUGUCGAAUAAUUGUUUUGAUUGGAAAUGAUUAUUCUAAUGACAAGAAGUAUUCAGGUCCGAUAGUUCUGGGUGAUUAUGGGUGAUUAAGUGGAACUGGAAGCGUGGAAGGCAUUUGUUCUGGUAGUAAAGAACUUUCUUGGCAACAAUAAGACCAGAAACUACGCAGAACUUGUCAACAACAUGCUGACUGCUUUCAGAAACCUGGGCUGCAACAUGAGCGUCAAGAUGCACUACCUAUUUUCACAUAUGGAUCGGUUUCCUAAGAACCUGGGUUCAAUGAGUGACGAGCAGGGGGAGAGAUUCCAUCAGGACAUGAAAGACAUGGAGACCAGGUAUCAGGGUUGCUGGGACACAGUCAUGAUGGCUGACUACUGUUGGACUCUGAAGAGAGACCUCCCUGCCGCUGAGCAUUCCAGAAGUUCCAAGAAAUGGAAGUUCAAGCCCUGAAGUUUGAAAAAUGGUGAAGCAACAUGCAAUUUACUUUAUCAAUGCCCACCAUUCGGUUUACAGUAAUCGAUGUUUCUAUCAGGUAAUCAAUAUAUGUUGUUGGAAAAACAUUUUUUUCUCUUAAAAACAUGUUUAGGAUGAUAUGUGUUGACAAAAAUCAGCUGAUAAUGCCACAAAAAUGUAAUCGGUUUUUUCACAAGAUCUGAUUUUUUUCAAAUCAACAUAGCACAAAAACCCGACCUGAUGGAGAGGAACGGAUGCCAUUUCCUGAUUCAGCAGUGCAAAAAUACCCUAAAUCAGUUGUAGAAAUCUAGACAACAUUCAAAAAGUAAAAGAAUUGUUGCCCAGUGCUAUUAUUAGUGGCGCCAGAGCCAGUGAUCGGUGGAGCCAACUAAUUUUGCUCCCAUUCACAUCCCUGCUAAGUUGUAUGAGGGCAACACUGGGACUAAGGAAGAAGAGGAGGAAGCUGACUGGUUGCAUGCAGACAAAAGGGCAGUCAGGUGAGGGCAGAAUAAGGCCCAAUUUGUUCUAACGGAUCACCUUCUGCUGCCUGAAAGUUGCAGCUUCUGCAAGUAGGAGAUCCCAGAGAUCUUGGCUAGAGGCAGCAGACAUUACCCCAGUACCCUGGCGGUCCUCCAUGUAGGAUAACUAUUGUCUGCCUGCGUAAAUUUCUCCCACGGCUUCCAGCGGCACAGAUUACUUUGUCCUGCCGUUUGGCUAGGUUCCACAGCCCACUCAUUCUGGAACAGUGUGGAGGAAGGGAGCGAAACGAUUGGCUUUAAUGGGAUUACUCUGGAGCAAACACGCCUAACAGCUCUGGGUGACCUCAUUUGUUUUGCAGCAUGUUCUGCCUUCGUGUUGCAGCCUCUUGAGGAGCUGGGGUGUUUUUUUUUUACGGGAUGGCUUCGUUUCAGGGGUGGGUGGAGUGAAUGAUUUGCUUUAAAAAUAGCAUUUGGGUAGCCUUGCAAAUGCAUUAUUGAUAACCACUUGCAUUUAUUAUAGCCGAGGAGUGCUUGCAAACAGUGUCUUCAUUAAGGGCUCUUCCAGCUGACGGGAGGGGGAAAGGAGGGUUUUCAUUUUCAUUUACCGUAUUUUUUGCUCUAUAAGACAAACACCAGACCACAAGACGCACCUAGUUUUUGGAGGAGGAAAACCAGAAAAAAAUAUUCUGAAUCUCAGAAGCCAGAACAGCAAGAGGGAUUGCUGCGCAGUGAAAGCAGCAAUCCCUCUUGCUGUUCUGGCUUCUGGGAUAGCUGUGCAGCCUGCAUUCGCUCCAUAAGACUCACACACAUUUCCCCUUACUUUUUAGAAGGGAAAAAGUGAGUCUUAUAGAGCAAAAAAUACGGUAAUUCUUUGGCAUUGUAUCCAAUUUCUAGUUCUCAGAAAACAACUUUUGGCAGAAUUUGAGGUGGGCCUUUCCGAUGUUGCCUUUUUUGGUGGGGAACGAAAGUGAAUUGCAAAGGCAGGGGUGAAAUAGCCUACACCUUCUUGUGUUCUCCUUGUAGUUGACAGCUCCCCCCACCAUUUUUAUUCUCCAGCAAAGUUCCAGAAUGAUGCUAUAACAUGUAAUGUCGUCCAAACCCAUAGUCAGAAGGGGGCAGGAGAAAGAGUGGCUAUCAUUUUUUUCACCAAAUGCAGCUCACAAUAAUUCUGUGUCUUGCUAAAUUGCUGUAUUGUAAUAAUAAUAAUAAUAAUAAUAAUAAUAAUAAUAAUAAUAAAUUUUAUUUAUACCCCACCCUCCCCUGCCAGAGCUGGGCUCAGGGCAGCUAACACCAGUAAAAUUACAGUAAAAACUUAAUAGGAAAAAAACCCCAAUUUAAAAUACAGGUUAGGUAAAGGUAAAGGGACCCCUGACCAUUAGGUCCAGUCGCGGACGACUCUGGGGCUGCGGCACUCAUCUCGCUUUACUGGCCGAGGGAGCCGGCGUACAGCUUCUGGGUCAUGUGGCCAGCAUGACUAAGCCACUUCUGGCGAACCAGAGCAGCGCACGGAAACGCCGUUUACCUUCCCGCUGGAGCGGUACCUAUUUAUCUACUUGCACUUUGACAUGCUUUUGAACUGCUAGGUUGCCAGGAGCUGGGACCGAGCUGUUAGGAUAUUUCCGUUCCACCUUAAAAGGGAGCAGGCUUUGUGAGUCACAGAGUCUGCGUAUUUCCUGUUCACAGGAAGUUUAUAUUUUGUCUAUUGCUUUCGUUUUCUCUCUGUGCCUGAGACAUCGAAGCAGGCAGUCAUGUUUUUUUCUUUGUUCUGACCAACGCUGAAUAAACUUGUAAAUAUGCUCUCCUGAGUGCAUCUUUCGUUGUGCGAACUCUGCUGAUAGAGCGUGCACGAGCUCUGGAAUGUGGCAAGCUAUUUCUGAGGCUUCGUGUUGCUAAUUGACUGAUACCGUAUCUAUGGGAGAUCGAUGGAUCGUCCGGCAUCAGCGUGGGGGCAUAAUGGACUUUGUCUCCCUGGCAGUAUCCCAACAACGGGAGCUCACUCCGUCACGGUGAUUCAAACUGCCGACCUUCUGAUCGGCAGGUCUUAGGCUCUGUGGUUUAACCCACAGCGCCACCCGCGUCCCUUAAAAUACAGGCUAAAUUGCAAUUUAAAAUGCAGCCUCCUUUUAAAAGUAGCCCAUAGAUCAAAACCAUAAGGGGAGGGAAAACAUACGGGUCAGACUGAGUCCAAAGCAAAGGCCUGGUGGAACAGCUCUGUCUUGCAGGCCCUGCGGAAAGAUAUCAAGUCCCGCAGGGCCCUGGUCUCUUGUGACAGAGCGUUCCACCAAGUCGGGGCCAGUACUGAAAAGGCACUGGCCCUAGUUGAGACCAAUCUAACCACCUUGCGACUUGAGACCUCCAAAAUGUUGGAGGGUAUGGAAGCGCCGUUGUACAAACCUUUGUGUGUGAAAUAGCAGAGGUGUGGCUGGAAAGCCCCUCCCCACCGCUAGACGGAAGACGGAUUGAAGAAAAGGACCUGUGAAUUGGCCCCGCCCCCUAAUUUGACCAAUCGCGGCUAGAAGCAGCUAGGAGCAAUGUGGAAUCAUAGAUCUAAAAAAAGUUUAGACUAGUACAUGCCGGCCAGCUUCCAUUUUGGGCUUAUCAGAAGUACGUAAAGGCAAGAAAUGGGCAGGGGGAACACCGGCCGGCAAUGGCGACCACUUGCGAGGUGCUGGAACUGUGCUCCGGCUGGAAGAAGAAAAAGCACUGCUCUCAGUCAUUUUUAAAUCCUCCACCUUCAAAUUCAUUUCCCUGUCUCCUAACCACAAGUAUUCUAUUUCUUUUUUAAAGUGGAUAAGUUGCAGUAGGGCAACAGAGCACUGGAAUCCACUUCAAUUGUGCAAACCUAAUUUUUCCCGGAGGCAUCCCUUGCGUGUGUUGUGGGAAGAUGUCAUAGUGUCUGCCUGGUGCUUUUAGAAUAAGCUUAUGGCCGCUCACGCUGCUUGCUGGUUCUUCCUAAUUUUUAUAUAUUUGUAUCGUGCUGCUGUUGUUUUCUGCAUGGUAAAUUGCCUCAAGCCUUUUGUUUUCGGUAGCAGGCACCUAACAUAACAAAUUAGCAAUACAAUUAAUACUAAUACGAAACUCCCAUCUGUAAGGCAUGCUGACAGCUUGCUAGCAAAUAUUGUCUCCAUUGUCUGAAAGUGGGUGUGAGGCCAUUUCUUUCUUUUUUUUCAUAAAAGGGAUUCUGAGCCCUUUUAGUUACUGUGAAUAUUUAGAGAUGAAGUAAUUGUUCCUCUAGAUUAAUGUGGGAUACAGGGAUUAAUGCUCUCUUGUAACGUGGUGCCAAAUGUCAACUCUCGCUUCCUCACCAUGACAAACUUUCAAUUCUAUUUGCAUUUACAUCUUCUGCCAUCUUAACUCCAUCACUGUGGCACCUGCUUAACACUCGAGACCUGUGGAAGGUCUCUCCCCCCCCCCAAUUAUUUUGAUUUUCCAUAAUUUUUAACAAAUUGUGACCAAAUUAAUACAAAUUUGUAUAAACCUCCCCAAAUGUUCCCUCUAUUUUCCUCCCUCCAUCGCUGCUCCCGGUGCAAUAACAUUUCCAACUUUCAUUUUAAAAUUUCACCCCUUCUCCCUCCACGUCACCUGUUCAGUUACCAAUUUCUGCUAAGACUUUUACAUAUAUUUUUAUAACCUGUCCUCAAAGUAGUGGGGUAGAGUAAAUCUUCUUUUAUCUAUCUAUAUACUAAUCAUUAAUUAGGGCCUUUUCAGUGAUGGCUCCGCCCUGGUGGAAUGCUCUGUCCCAUGAGACUAGGGCCCUGCAGGAUUUAACCUACUUCCGUCGGGCCUGUAAGACAGAGCUAUUCCGUAUGGCCUUUCAUUUGAAUUCAGCCUGAUCUUUUAUUUCCCUUCUCUUCCCUCCCCCUCCCCUUUUAUGAAGAUUACCAGCUCUGAGACACCACAGCAAAUUCUCCCCUGACCGCCUCGUUGGCCCAAGUAGGACUAAUUCAGCCAGCUAGCCCUGGUGACUAUCUAAUGCUUAUUAGAUGGAUUUCCCCAAAAUUGAUUCUUGAACUUUGAAUUUUAUUGUUAUUCAUGUUUUUAUACUGUAUUUUAUGCUACUUCUACAAGUAAGUGUUUUUAAAUUGUUGUUAGCCACCCUGAGCCCAGUUUUCUGAACCGGGAAGGGCGGGGUAUAAAUUAAAAAAUAUUAUUAUUAUUUAGUAUUAAUCAAUUUUAAAAUGUUUCUCUCUGGUACCUCUUGAAUAGUUGACCCCAUGGACCAGAGCACGUCAGGCACUCCUGUCUUCCACUGCCUCCCACAGUUUGGUCAAACUCAUGCUGGUAGCUUCGAGAACACUGUCCAACCAUCUCGUCCUCUGUCGUCCCCUUCUCCUUGUGCCCUCCAUCUUUCCCAACAUCAGGGUCUUUUCCAGGGAGUCUUCUCUUCUCAUGAGGUGGCCAAAGUAUUGGAGCCUCAGCUUCAGGAUCUGUCCUUCCAGUGAGCACUCACGGCUGAUUUCCUUAAGAACGGAUAGGUUUGAUCUUCUUGCAGUCCAUGGGACUCUCAAGAGUCUCCUCCAGCACCAUAAUUCAAAAGCAUCAAUUCUUCGGCGAUCAGCCUUCUUUAUGGUCCAGCUCUCACUUCCAUA